CUAGUGGUACGGAACAACUCAGGGAAACUUGAGCUAAUACCGUAUAAGCCCGAAAGGGGAAAGAUUUAUCGCCACUAGAUCAGCCCGCGUAGGAUUAGCUAGUUGGUAGGGUAACGGCCUACCAAGGCGACGAUCCUUAGCUGUUCUGAGAGGAAGAUCAGCCACACUGGGACUGAGACACGGCCCAGACUCCUACGGGAGGCAGCAGUUGGGAAUCUUGGACAAUGGGCGCAAGCCUGAUCCAGCCAUGCCGCGUGAGUGAUGAAGGCCUUAGGGUUGUAAAGCUCUUUUACCCGGGAAGAUAAUGACUGUACCGGGAGAAUAAGCUCCGGCUAACUUCGUGCCAGCAGCCGCGGUAAUACGAAGGGGGCUAGCGUUGUUCGGAAUUACUGGGCGUAAAGCGUGCGCAGGCGGUCUCUCAAGUCAGGGGUGAAAGCCCAGAGCUCAACUCUGGAAUUGCCUUUGAAACUGUGAGGCUCGAGUGCGGGAGAGGUGAGUGGAAUUCCCAGUGUAGAGGUGAAAUUCGUAGAUAUUGGGAAGAACACCGGUGGCGAAGGCGGCUCACUGGCCCGUUUCUGACGCUCAUGCACGAUAGCGUGGGGAUCAAACAGGAUUAGAUACCCUGGUAGUCCACGCCGUAAA
rnacentral:rRNA from 1 species